GCCUGACCUGACUUAAAAAUUGGAUGGCAGUACAUCAGACUAGAAGAUUACAAGUAUUGAGGUGGACAAAAUGAAACCUGAGCCUACCAAAGCUGACAGAUUGCACAAGAAACACAUAAAUGCAGAAACCAUAUUGAGGAGCUGGUCCACCUGUAGGAAGAAUUGCGCUAUUGGUUGGAGCAGCACUAUUACCCAGCCAUACACCAGCACUUAGUUUGUCAUAGGGAGCAUUUCUGAGCAGUUAUGGAGACCACUAACUAUGCAGUUGUUGCAGUGAAACUUGCACCAGUGUGUUUUCUGUGGAGAUAAAGAGAUAGUGUCCAGCAAUGAAGACCCAACUCAAGAUCUGACCUUGUAAGGCCAAUAUGAAAUAACUGUGUGGGAAAAUGGGAAAAACCUGCAGUCAGGAAUGCACGGAAGUCAUCAAAAUAACAGUGUUAAAUUAAUCUUGAAUAACUUGACAUUUAUUUUGUUUGACAUAUUUAUUCAUGGUGCAGUGAAAACAUUCUUUUUUUCUCAUGGUUAUUUAAAUUUAGAAUUGAUAGGAGGGAACAUCACUAUGUAGUUUCAUGUUCAUAGUCAGAUCAAAACCCAUGUACAUGCCCAAAUGAGCAUUC